CAGAAUAAGGCAGAAAAAGAGUCAAUGAAGAGAAGUUGUAAAGUUUAUGAUGAACUCCUUAGGCGAGACACCACACUCUCUUGGACAGAUUUCUUUAGUUGUGUAUUUUCUUCCUAUUCAACUGUCUCUGUUGUUUCGCCAUCUUUUUGAUCAACCAACUCCUAGAUUUCAUGUUUUACCACUGCUGUUGUCACCUUUUGCUGCCCUGCCAAAUAAUUCUCACAUGUAUAUUUAUACCAGCUCUGGUGACUCAACCUUCCACCUCCGUCAGUGAAAAAUGAGAUCAAUAUUUAGGACAUUUAUCUGAAC
rnacentral:lncRNA from 1 species